GACGAACGCUGGCGGCGUGCCUAAUACAUGCAAGUUGAGCGAUGAAGCUUGGUGCUUGCACCAAUUUGAAGAGCAGCGAACGGGUGAGUAACGCGUGGGGAAUCUGCCUUUGAGCGGGGGACAACAUUUGGAAACGAAUGCUAAUACCGCAUAACAACUUUAAACAUAAGUUUUAAGUUUGAAAGAUGCAAUUGCAUCACUCAAAGAUGAUCCCGCGUUGUAUUAGCUAGUUGGUGAGGUAAAGGCUCACCAAGGCGAUGAUACAUAGCCGACCUGAGAGGGUGGUCGGCCACAUUGGGACUGAGACACGGCCCAAACUCCUACGGGAGGCAGCAGGAGGGAAUCUUCGGCAAUGGACGAAAGUCUGACCGAGCAACGCCGCGUGAGUGAAGGAGGUUUUCGGAUCGUAAAACUCUGUUGGUAGAGAAGAACGUUGGUGGGAGUGGAAAGCUCAUCAAGUGACGGUAACUACCCAGAAAGGGACGGCUAACUACGUG
rnacentral:rRNA from 1 species